rnacentral:tmRNA from 1 species
GUGCUUGAGAAGCGGGCGCCAAAGGCCUACAUAUGAGGGGCCGGGCAACCGGCUAUGCUGGUAGAUCGCCUUCUGGAAUAGGCACUUCGGACCCGGGGGGCAGUACCCCGGCGCCUCCACCACCAGCGACGGGAAACGUCGUUGCUGAUGGGGGCGAAACAGGAUCGACGGGUGCAAUAAAGAUUGGGCUGCCAGUCGGCGUGAGCGAGCCGUAAAACCGUUCUUCACACAAGUGCCAACGAUAACGAGGCUCUUGCGAUUGCCGCGUAACAAGGUCUCAACGGACUAAGUUACAAGGACAAAAGCGCGGUUGGACCCCACCGGGCAACAGAAGGGGAUUCCA